rnacentral:rRNA from 1 species
UACGUAGGGUGCGAGCGUUAAUCGGAAUUACUGGGCGUAAAGCGUGCGCAGGCGGCUUUGCAAGACAGAUGUGAAAUCCCCGGGCUCAACCUGGGAACUGCAUUUGUGACUGCAAGGCUAGAGUACGGCAGAGGGGGAUGGAAUUCCGCGUGUAGCAGUGAAAUGCGUAGAUAUGCGGAGGAACACCAAUGGCGAAGGCAAUCCCCUGGGCCCGUACUGACGCUCAUGCACGAAAGCGUGGGGAGCAAACAGG